rnacentral:rRNA from 1 species
CCCUUAGAUGUUCUGGGCCGCACACGCGCUACACUGAAGGAGGCAGCGUGUACUCCUGGAUCGAAAGAUUUGGGUAACCCGCGAAUCUCCUUCGUGCUAGGGAUUGAGGUUUGCAAUUAUCCUUCAUGAACGAGGAAUUCCCAGUAAGUGCAAGUCAUAAGCUUGCGCUGACUACGUCCCUGCCCUUUGUACACACCGCCCGUCGCUACUACCGAUUGAAUGAUUUAGUGAGGACUUCGGACUGGGACCGAUGCGGCUUUCGGGCUGCGUCGGUAUUCUGGAAAGAUGUCCAAACUGUAUCAUUUAGAGGAAGUAAGAGUCGUAACA